rnacentral:rRNA from 1 species
CAUAGAUAUGUCGUAGAAUACCGAUUGCGAAGGCAGCCAACCGGACUUAAAUUGACACUGAGGCACGAAAGCUUGGUGAGCGAACAGGAUUAGAUACCCUGGUAGUCCACGCCCUAUACGAUGUUCACUCGAUGUUGGGAUGAAAUAAGAUUUCAGCAUCCAAGGGAAACCGAUAAGUGAACCACCUGGGGAGUACGUUCGCAAGAAUGUAACUCAAAGGAAUUGACGGGGGUCCGCACAAGCAGUGGAGCAUGUGGUUUAAUUCGAUGAUACGCGAGGAACCUUACCUGGGCUAGAAUGCUAAGCGCUAUUUGGUGAAAGCCGAAGUUCCUUCGGGACGUUUAGCAAGGUGCUGCAUGGCUGUCGUCAGCUCGUGCCGUGAGGUGUUGGGUUAAGUCCCGCAACGAGCGCAACCCUUGUCCUUAGCUGCCAACAUGUAAAGAUGGGGACUCUAAGGAGACUGCCGGCGUAAGCCGCGAGGAAGGUGGGGAUGACGUCAAGUCAUCAUGCCCUUUAUGCCCAGGGCUACACACGUGCUACAAUGGUGCAUACAGAGGGCAGCGAAGCCGCGAGGUGGAGCCAAUCUCACAAAGUGCAUCCCAGUUCAGAUUGAAGUCUGCAACCCGACUUCAUGAAGGUGGAAUCGCUAGUAAUCGCACAUCAGCCAUGGUGCGGUGAUACGUUCCCGGACNUUGUACACACCGCCCGUCAAGCCAUGGAAGCUGGGGGUGCCUGUUAGUGGAGACUCAAUAGGGA